rnacentral:misc_RNA from 1 species
AGUACUGAAGAUUUGACAGACAGCAAUGUGGUAGUUCGGAAGUCCACAAUGUUUACGUCAUUGGGAACCACAAGUUGUUCUAAAUCUAAAUUGUGUCCAGUUUUCCAAACUUCAUACUAUAUUUACCAAUUCUAGUUAGCAAGUCUUUUGACAUGAAUUCUGUAUUGAAUCUAUAUAGAAUUCAUUUACAAAUGAAUUUCCUUGUUUGGAAUACCAUAAAUUAAUAUAAACAUUCAAUUAGAUUAUGUAAAUUUUGUUUGGAAGAUAUCAUUCUUUCUGAAAAUGCACUUUGAGAGAGUGAAAGAGAGAGAGUAUAUGUUACUUCUUGUGAUUGUGAAAUAGAAAAGAAGGUGAAAGCUGUGGAUAUGUUAUGAAGUUUUGUUGUUAGUUUUCUGGAAUUCAUAUGAAAUUCUACCUAUUCUGAUACAAUUUGUUUUAAUUUAGUUGAAUUGUAUGGAAAUGGAAUUGUACAAUGGAAAUGAAGAAAUUUAUUCCAAACAUAAAAUUAUUGAACUGAAAAUGAAUUCCAUUGAAUUUAUGAAAUUCAUUUGUUCACAUAGUGUUAGGAAUUGAUUGCACCUUAAUAUUUAAGGAUUUAAAAGGGGAAAAAAUCUUCUGUUGAUUUUUAAGCAUUCUUGACAUUACAAAAUCUUCAUCUUAUGUUUUAAUACAAAAUCUUCAUCUUAUGUUUUAAUUCAUUGAGAACAAAAACAUUGCAUACUUUGCACCAUUUCUGGUGUCUGCUAAUUUGAACUUGAGCCACGAAACAUUUUUUGUGGUUUCAGUCCCUGUUUAUGGUUAUAUUUGGUCCUUUUUGUUGCAUGCUUAUGUUACUCUUACUGUAUCAUAAUUAUCUUAUUGUUAUCUUUUAGCAUUUGUUUUUGACCACUUUGCAAUGGGAAAUUGUUUGGCUAAAGCAUCAGGCACUGCUUCAUCUAGCUUUUGACCAUGCCUUUAUCUCUAUGAGCUAUGCUAUCUUUGAGACAUGUUUAGCAUGGCAAUGAAAUGCUUAUAAAUAAGGACGAUUGUUUAAUACUCAGAAUUCUGUGAUCCAGAAAUUAUUUGCAAUGACAAGUAACUGUCUACUUUUUCCUUCCUUUUUUCCUUUUAACUAUGCUGGGGUUUUGGAUGAAUUGGGUUGUUGUGAAUUGACUACAGUUUUAUUUCCUUUCUUUCUAGUGAGUAAUAAUGAUGCACUGAGUAAUUUAUCAAUUUUUAUUGUAGAGUAUAAUGGAUAGCCAAUCUGGUCAUGGGUUUGACUCAGAUGAAAGUGACUUAGAUAUGCAAGCUGAAGCCUAUGAUUGUGAGAGUAUAGAUGAUGAGCUCCCAAAUAACUUAGAUUUCUGCGCAAGCGAAGAUGACAAUAUAUCAGAACAAUCUGUUGGAUUACCUAUAAAUGCUGAAGGUUUAGAACCACAUGUAGGCAUGGAGUUCAACUCAAGAGAUGAAGCCAGAGAAUUUUAUAUUUCCUACGGCAGACGCACUGGUUUCACUGUGCGUAUACACCAUAAUCGUCGUUCUCGAGUUAACAAUCAAGUUAUUGGUCAAGAUUUUGUUUGUUCAAAAGAAGGUUUCCGUGCCAAGAAGUAUGUAUACAGAAAAGAUAGAGUUCUUCCCCCACCGCCAGUCACCAGGGAGGGAUGUCAAGCAAUGAUAAGGCUAGCUCUGAGAGAUGGAGUUAAGUGGGUGGUAACCAAAUUUGUUAAAGAGCAUACUCAUAAACUAAUGAGUCCCAAUAAAGUUCCAUGGCGGGGAUCUGGAAAGCACUUAAUUAGUGAGGUAUGUUCGAUUUUUCCCCCAAUGAAAUGAUAUGAAGCUGAGCUUCUUGAAAGGUUACUGAACCAGAUGAGCUGAUCCUUCUCACUAUAUGAGGAAACAUUGUAGGAUACUAGGCAAUUGGUGGUGGAAUUUCCAAGCCUGAUCCUGCUGUGCGUUAGCUUUUUCAGCUAACUAAACAUAAAAAAUUUUAUUCAGUUAUCCUUUUUAUUUGGAAUUGGCUUAGCCAUGGUCUGGUCUAUUGGGAAAAUUCAAACUUGGGCUUGUGGGCAAGGAUUGGGUUUGGGAGCAUAUUCCGAAGUAUGCCUCUGCCUAGUGAUCUGGACUAGCUGUCAUGGAGUUAAAAUGAGAUUUGUGUGCUGCAUUAGUAAUUUGACAUGGUUAACUUUUUAAUUGGUCUUACUUUCAGUUUUAUUUUCCUGUUUUAAAAUAGUAUAUCCAUUAUUAUAUUGUUCUUGUAAUAGCCAAAAUAUUCACCUCUUUUGCAGGAUGAGAAGGAUAAGAGAAUCCGUGAACUAUCCCUUGAGUUGUACAAUGAGAGGCAAAAGUGUAAACGACGGUGUGCUGCAUAUGAAGAACAGCUAAAUAUGAUCCUAAAAGAUUUGGAACAACACACAGAACAUGUUUCUAAGAAAGUUGCUGAUGUUGUACAGAGCAUAAGAGAAAUUGAGGAGGAGCAGACUGAUGACUCUGACAGUGGAUGAAAUCAAUACAGGAUCAGCAUGUAUCCUUUCAUUUCCUCUGUUGUGAAAAAUGAGCUGUUGAGCCUAGCCGGACAUCUACUUUUAACAUAAACAAACAGUUUGAAUUGGUAUAAUCGUCAAGGUGAAUGACUUCAUAAUCCAUGAAGUAUAUUUUCCUGAGAAAAUCAAUGGCCACUUUAUUAUGUCUUGGAUCAAGAAAUGUACAGGGCAUCAAUGACGUAUCUUUGCUAAAAGGUAACAAAGUUAUUCAUGAAAUUUGGCGUGGUGUGUUGUCAUAUAUUCACUGGUCUUUCUUUUAGCUUGUAUAAUAGUUUGUCUGAACCAUUUAAGAUUCAAUUAUGUUUCACUGUAAAAUAUACUAGCACAGAAUUUGUUUUUUCUGUUUGGAAUGUGAUUUCAUGAGCAAUUAACAUACAGAUAUUUUGUUGUUUGGGAGAUGAGAACCUUCUAUAAGGUGGAUGGUAAAAUUGUAAGUGAUGAUAAACUGAU